GACAGAGGCCUCAAGCGUUAGGCGGAAUCACUGGGCGUAAAGCGUGCGUAGACGGUUACGUAAGUCGGAUGUGAAAGCCCCGGGCUCAACCUGGGAAUUGCAUUUGAGACUGAAUAGCUAGGGUGCGGAAGAGGGAAGCGGAAUUUCCGGUGUAGCGGUGAAAUGCGUAGAUAUCGGAAGGAACACCAGUGGCGAAAGCGGCUUCCUGGUCCAGCACCGACGUUCAGGCACGAAAGCGUGGGGAGCAAACAGG
rnacentral:rRNA from 1 species